rnacentral:rRNA from 1 species
CGCCUCUUGCAUUCCAAAGUAUAAGAGGUCCCACCUGCCCUGUGACUCUAAGUUUAACGGCCGCGGUAUUCUAACCGUGCGAAGGUAGCGCAAUCAAUUGCCUUUUAAAUGAAGGCCUGUAUGAAUGGUAUAACGAGGGUCUAGCUGUCUCUUUUUUCUAGUCAGUUAAACUGAUCUGUCCGUGCAGAAGCGGACAUUAAUAUACAAGACGAGAAGACCCUAUGGAGCUUUAGACACUAGCCAACUGUGAACAAGCGACUGAACUGAACGAGUCCUAAAUACCCGCAGCCUUAUGGUAAUGUAGUCUUAGGUUGGGGCGACCACGGGAGAAAGUAAAGCUCCCAAGCAGACCGGGAAAACCCUUAAGCCGAGAGUUGCAACUCUAAGCCGCAAAAUUUUUGACUGAAAUGAUCCGGUUGAAAAACCGAUUAACGAACCAAGUUACCCUAGGGAUAACAGCGCAAUCCUCUCCCAGAGUCCCUAUCGACGAGGGGGUUUACGACCUCGAUGUUGGAUCAGGACAUCCUAAUGGUGCAGCCGCUAUUAAGGGUUCGUUUGUUCAACGAUUAAAGUCCU